rnacentral:rRNA from 1 species
CCUACGGGGGGCAGCAGUGAGGAAUAUUGGUCAAUGGGCGGAAGCCUGAACCAGCCAAGCCGCGUGCGGGACGAAGGCGCUACGGAUUGUAAACUGCUUUUGUACGGGGAUAACAUCAGCCACGUGUGCCUGUCUGAAGGUACCGUGCGAAUAAGGAUCGGCUAACUCCGUGCCAGCAGCCGCGGUAAUACGGAGGAAUCGAGCGUUAUCCGGAUUUAUUGGGUUUAAAGGGAGCGUAGGCGGACGUUUAAGUCAGCGGUAAAAGCCCGGGGCUCAACCGCGGAGAGCCGUUGAAACUGGACGCCUUGAGAGGACAAGAGGUAGGCGGAAUGCGUGGUGUAGCGGUGAAAUGCUUAGAUAUCACGCAGAACCCCGAUUGCGAAGGCAGCAUACCGGGGGACGUCUGACGCUGAGGCUCGAAAGUGCGGGUAUCAAACAGGAUUAGAUACCCUUGUAGUC